ensembl:lncRNA
CAAGAUGGCCUGACCACUCCUGACAGGACCAUUGAUUCAACACCGUGAAACAAACAAAUCAAAAAUAGCAUGCGGAAAACAACCAAGAUGGGAUUUCACUCACUGGUCAUCCUUUCUGACAGAUUUCCUCAUCUUAUUAUUUCCCCACUGGAGCCUAAGCGCUGCACCUGCCAAUGAUUUCAAAAAGGUAAAUGUUUUUCAAAGCUUGUAUAUCAAAAUGCUUCAUUUAAUAUUAGGUACUAAUUUAAUUUAACAUAAGGUGAUAGUUCAACCAAACAUGACAAUUAUAUAUUCACCCUGAUAUAAUUUCAAACUUGUGUAACUGUAGUUUUUACUGCAUUUUUAAAGAUUUUUUAAAGAAAAAAAUGCAUUUUUAAAGAAUGAUGAAGAAUAAUUCUGAUAAAAAUUAGCAUUUUCUGUUCAGUAACACUAAUUAUAGCAAUAAUAAGUUAUUAAAGUCACGCAUGCUUUGCUAUAUAUUGAUCAUGUGGUGUAAACAACACAUUUAAGCAAACACCAAAAAUGUGCCAUUUCUCAUCAUGUCAAUGUGAGCAUGAUUCUGUCAUGUUUGAAAGAUGCUCCUGAAGUCUCCUGUGUUUGUCUCCCGCUGUCAUCUCGAUGCUGAGGCCCAGCAAGCUGGCAGGGGCUGACCCUGAGGUGCUGGGAAUUGUGGGUAGUGGGAUUACCUAUGGUGGCAUAGUCUUGUGCUUCCUCUGUGAGACUGGCUGGGCUGAGCAGAUGGCAGUGGCCUGGCAGUCACAGCAUGGAGGCCUCUCAAGUGACAAGAAGGUUCCUUUUUUUCCUUCUGGAGCACAUUAGAAAAAAUUACAGUGCUGACAUUUCUUCAUUAAUCAUGGCGGCCGGUGGUGGCAGCGAGUGGCGCGGAGCCUUGGCAGACGCGAGUGUCCCCGUUGUGCUGGCAGCCGCGCCCCAGACGCCAGCCUUUCAAUGCCACAGCUGUUGCUGCCAUCAGCCUCACAAACAUCUGACACCCACCCCAGAUCAGCCCAGUCCACACCGGCUUCCUGUGCAUCCCAGAAGGGCUGAGGCCUGGUCUGGUGCAGCCCAUGUCCGCAUGGAUGGAUGGAUAGAUGGAUGGAUGGAUGGAUGACCUGAAUGGAUGGAUUAUGUGAUGUGGUAUUCCUCAAGGCCAAAGUGGGGCGUCGCUCCUCAGAGAGAGUCUACUUGCCUCAGUCUGGGCUGAUGUCUGAGAAAUGAAGAGCUGCAGGGUGUUGUAUUAAUUAAUCUUUUUCAUUUCUAUUAUAAUUCCACACAAGCUAUUACGCAUUAUUUAACAUUUAUUUUGUUUGACUAUUUUGAAAUUUAAUUGAACUUUAUUGAUGCUUGCAGAUAAAAAGAAAAAAAAGACAAUAAACCAGCGUUUGUUUCAAUGUUAACAAAGAUAUCAAGAUAAGAUCAGACAAAAGUAUUUCUUAUUCUCUAUUAAAUACGUUCUAGUGUUAUGUUAUGUUAUGUUAUGUUAUGUUAUGUUAUGUUAUGUUAUGUUAUGUUAUGUUAUGUUAUGUGUUUGUACACACCCCUCACCAAAUGCACCCCAUGCAUGGGUAGCAAACGUCUAGCUAUACGAGUCUUGGUAUAUGAGUCACUGGCUAGAGGCUGAGGUGCUCAUACCACCACUUAGCUCUGUGUCCCGCCAUAUGGUGGAGACCGCUGGGACUACAUGGGGAAUCAGGCCAGACUGCUCUCCGAAGAACCCAACACCCCCCCAUUUCUUAUUCCCCUCUUAUUCUCACACACACAUAAAUGCACACUUCUAUAUGUGAGAGGCAAGACCUCCAUUCUUAGAGUCAGAGAAAGUAGGACAGGUUGAAGUAGUGUAGCGAGCACAGACCCAGAUGUGACACACACACACACUCAUACAUUAGACAUCCACCCCAGCCUCUUCCUAUGACACUCACAGCAGAGUUAUUCCCCCCUAGCAUCUCCUUAUGACCACUUUACAGCAGUUUCCCCUCUGCCCUCCCACACCUGCCUCUCCCAACAUACCCACCCCCUAUUUAUAGACUAUACCAUCCUAUUCUGCAUCACAUGGCUUCAUAUAGUUUCUUAAAGAGCAGUGUGUCACUUUCUUAAUGUACAGUUAUAUUGUCCAAGUAGUACAAUAUACACUACCUUUCAAGUUUGGAGGCAGUUUUUUUUUUUUUUUUUUUAAAGAGAUUAAUACUUUUAUUCAUCAAGGAUGCAUUAAAGUGACAGUAAAAUACAUUUACACUGGUGCAAAAGUUUUCUAUUUCAAAUAAAUACUGUUUGUUUUAAUAACUUUGAUUACAUGUUUCUUGAGCACCUAAUCAGCAUACAGUAUUACAAUGAUUUCUG